rnacentral:lncRNA from 1 species
GCGAAACAAGUACAAAAGAAAUAACCGAACAAGUCAACACACCAAGAAAAGAGCAAAUGGCCAGAAAAUAUAAGUCAUGAGGGAUUAUAGCUUGCGCAAGAUAAAAUUUACUACAUAAAAAUCCAAAUCAAUCCAAAUAUACAUCACCAAAGGCAUGCUUGACAAGGAUAACAAUUCAAUACAUGCUAAUGGGAAUGCUUGAAUCGCAUAAAAAAUGAAUUAAGAACGGACAUACAAUGACUCUAAUCUAUACUCAAAACAACUACUUAUAUAGCCAAAAUAAUUAUAGAGAAAGAGAGAGCAAGCCUAUGAACUCGCUACAUGCUAGACCGAGAAGGGAGCAACCUAAGACAUACUCUUAAAAUGCGACGAAAACUCACUGAUUCAGAUAAGAGUUAAUGAAUUAAAGCCUUUAUCACAAUCUAGCCUAACCAAACACAUACUAGUCAAAAUAAACAUGCUGACUCUAGCUUAUUCAUAGUUAGGCAAAAAAUAAAAUAAAAAAUAUAAUAAUAAUCAGACCAUAACAAUUAAAUCUUCAGCAAAUGGCCUACUGCUACACCACCAAAAAUAGCUAAACAACAUACAAAUCAUGCUAAGAAAUAUACUUUCCAAAGAGACCAACAAAAUGACAAAUGUUAAGGCAGCACAACAAUUCCAAAUUAAUAUACAGCAGCAUAGCAUAUGCUUCAGCCUUGC